rnacentral:lncRNA from 1 species
GCGUUCUCUAUUUCAGAGGAAGACAGAACACCCUAAAAAGGGAACUUACUUAGGCCAGUUCCACUUCUAGAGGAGAGUUUUUAAACACCCAUUCUAUUAGCUAUUGACAAAGCUCCAUCCUUUUUUAAAAUGAGAAUCACCACUCAAUGUGCGGCAAAACCAAUCCUGGACAAAUCCUACACUGAUUUUUUUGUGUCAUUUAUUAUCCACUUAAUUUUGGUUUUUAGCCUCCUCAUAAUUUCUUUCUCCCCUCUCCAAUUUUACUUCUUACUGCAGACCAAGGAAAAAUAAAGAAAAAGUGAUUUACCUCCAAAUCAAGAAAUCAGAUGUUCCACUGAACUAAGGAGGGCGCUGCCCAGCCUGGCUGUGAUGAUGCCAAAACCAGAAGCAGAGAUUUCUUCACCCACCUCGGCCGGGCAGUUCAGCUGGACUUGUGCUUGGGCUCUGUCCUGUAGACCUAUGGCCAGCAGAAUUUGUGGCUCUGCUGUGUAAAAACCCACCCGCAGACCAUCCUGCCGAGACACUCUGUUCUCAGCAUUCCCAGGAUGACACCCAUUGACUCACUGGAAUUUUUUUUCUAACUUUUUAUUUCUUUAUUUGAUUCCUUUCCCACAACAUCAAACCAAAAUACACAGGGGAACUGUGGACAAGGGAAACCAAAUAGAAGUUGGGAGAAGAGAUUUUGUUUUCUUAAGGAAAUAAAACACCCAAAGCAAUAUUAAGUGGACCAGAAUAUGUCGAGAACUUUGAAUAGGGCCUUGCAGGAUCAUAGGUGAAGAAAUUUUUGAAUACAUUGAUUAUUAUCUAGGAUAGACUUGAAAAGAAAUUCAAAUAAAAGAUUCAGAAUACAGCUUGAGUCCACAGUAAGUCCUUCUGUAUCUGUGCUGGAUAAGCACCAAUGUCUGCCCUCCAUCAAAGAUCCUCAGCAGAGUUCAAUGGAGAACACAGUUGGCACAAGUCAAAUCACAGAUGAUAACUUUUUGGCCUAGUAAAAAAUUCUUGAUCUUUCACUUAAACAUUAUCUAUUGGCUUUUUAAUAUUUAAAAAAAAAAAAGAAAAUUUAGCUCUCUUCACCUCUCCACUCAUCCCAAAACACUUCUCUCUUACCUUCAAACUGCUUUAUCACGUUUUUAUUAAAUCAGAGUUGAUCCUCACAUCCCUGUGGCUACGUGGCUGCUACUGACAGCUGAGGCACAGUGUUUGUGGCUUUCUGCCUUUCCUGAAUCUGUAUUGUUGUUGUUAUUUUGUUUUAUUUCUUUUUUUUUUUUUUUUUUUUGAGCAUGAGGAGGAUCGAGGAUUGAAGCCAGGGGCACUUAACCACUGAGCCACAUCCCCAGCCUUUUUUAUAUUUUGAGACAAGGCCUCAUUAAAUUGUUGAGGCUGCUCAUAAUCCUCCUACCUCAGCCUCCUAGACACUGAGAUUACAGGCGUGUGUCACCACAUCCGGCAAUUGCUUUGUUUUCUAUGUAUCCAUCAUUAAUUCUUCCCAAAACUCUCUGAGAGAACAAUACCCGUACUCUUGAUGUAUUCACAUACAUCGCACACUGGUUUCUUGUCUUACAUCUCCCCACCCCCUGCAUCUCUGAGAGCCUGGAGCUACUGGUCUCCCCACUCUGUUUGGACUGGUGAAUCUUCAGCCUCCCACACAGUCACUGGCCUGGGCUCUCCUUUCCCCCUUCCUGAGCAUGCCCACUGCCUUUUUCUUAUGUUAGAUGCCCUGUCUAUCUCCUGGAUCCCAAGAUAUCCUCUUUUUUUUAGUUUCUCCCCGUAUUUUGAGGAAGCACAUCUUCUAGUUGUAUAUUAGUUCAUUUUUCCAUUGCUAUAAAAAAAAAUACCUGAGACUGAGUACUUUAUAAAGAAAAGAGGUCUGUUUUGCUCACAGCUUUGGAGGUUGAAAGCGCAGCACCAGUUCAGACUAGCACCCCUUUCGUGCAUCGCAUAUCUAAGAUGGCAUCAUGGUAGGAGCACGCGUGAGAGGAGCAGUGACAUGGCGAGGAAGAAGCCAGAGAGCAGGGAGGCACAGGUUCCGCUCUCUCAUAGCAGUGCUCUCUGAGAACAACCAGGGUCCUCCAGAAUGACACUAGUGCCCUCCAGGGGCAGCAACCCAAUGGCCUAACUACCUCCCACUAGGCCCCGCCUCUCAAAGGUCCUAUGACCUCCCACAUCACCACCCAGAGGACCAGGUUUCCAGCAGAAGAAACCACAGGGACGCACUCAAACCCUGUCCACGCCACCAGAAACAGCUUCCCGAGAACGAGUCCCACCGUCCUUUAUUUCUCUGCUGUCACACCAGGUGUUGAAACCUGCACCCUACAUUUCCAAGCCCUCUGCCUCCUGCUUCCUCUAAGGCUCUACCAGUGGGCAGCACUGGCCUAAGGUAGGAAGGAAGAGAGAAGCCAUUCCCCCGCAGCAGGCCGGACCGUGGCAGCCGCAGAGCAUGGUCCAGCCCUAGCAGCAGCAGCUGCAGCCAACCUACCACCCCCAGCUCCAGAGCACAGACAAGGCCCUGGGCCCCACCAGGGCCAGUCCUGGUCUUUGCCUCCUCUGUCCAGCCUCCUUCUGCUUUCCUCUCUACCAGCGAUUUUAUAAGGAAGCAUCUUAUUAAAUUGCCUCUAUUUAAGAAACCUGGACCGGUUUCUCAUUCAGUGUCUAAUCACUGAUUAGUCCUCUACUCGGUAGCGUGGAGAGACCCAGGAACUAGAUGCCCAAAUGAGGGAAUCUGGUGUUUGUUCAGUGACGUGACUGGGACUGAACACAUCGAUGGCCUUAUUGUCAGUGGCAAAGGGGGCGACCCUGGAGAAUGGCCAGCAUGGACGGUGUCUCUCCAUGGUGUAUGGCCGGGGAACACGAAUGAAAUGAUUAGCUGUGGUUACCUGAAAUCAAGCACCUAUUCCAAGCUGGACUUGGGGAGCCUGAGACACGUUGAAUCUGAUCAAUUUUGUGGGAAUUGUGACCACAGAGUCUCAGGUAGGGCUGGCUAUUUCUGACUCCACUAGAAACAUUAUAAAACCUUUAAAAUACCAAGCAAGGCAUUGUCGGAGAAGAAGACAGCUCCCGGUCAUGGCCCUAAAUGAAAUUCCUGAGUUUUGUAGAGUCUAGGCUCUAAUUUGCAAACCAGCAAUUUUAGAAAAGAUCUGAGAGAAUUAAAAAAAAAAAAAGAAAAGAUCUGAGAGAAUAUUUCCAUGAUUUACAACAAAGUAGGGCCUCGUGAGAACAAAAAUCCAAGAGAGAUAAAGCAAAAGACUGCAAUUUGACUACAUAAAAUGAGACAAAUAAAGCUAGUGAUGCUGUACCCACAGAUGUCCAAAGAGGAAAUCUGGAUGAUCAUAGAUGUGGAAAAUAUUUGCACCACAUAUAAAAUAUCCAAAGGACUAAUAGACAAAAGAAAUAAAGAACUACUAGAAAUCAAUGAAGAAAAGUCUAUCAGACAGAGGGAAAAAUGAUCCAAGAGUAGAAAUAAUCAUUUACAGAAGAUAACAGAAAAUGUGAGUUAAGUCAUAGAAAAUAUGUACAUCCUCCUUGUUAGGGAAAUACAAACUAAAACAACGACAAAAUUUUUCACUCAUCUGAUUAGUAAAAUUAACAAAAAUUAGUAAUAUUGAAUUUGGGAAAGGGUAUGAGGAAGCUUUCAUAUAUUUGUGGAAAGAAUAUUGACUGUGGCAUUCUUUUAAGAAAGCAGUUUGGCAGUGUGCCCCCAUGUCACAAAUGUGCACCUCUGACUUUACCAUUUCACUGUCGGUAUCUAUCUAUGAGAAAUACAAAUGUACACAGAGAAACUUUGAGAGACAUUUGUUGAAUCCCUUAUAGGUUAAAUCAAAAAUAAGAAAUAACCAAAGUCCACAAAUAUGAGGAAUGUUUAAACCAUGCUGAAUCCACUCACCAGUCCAAAGGAAGGGAAAAGGCCUACACAUGCUCCAUAGAAAGACGGCCCAAGGUGAGUGUUAGAAUACUAGUGUGAGAAAGUUCAGGUGCUCAACUUACUGCUGGCCCAAAGAGGGGUUGUUUGGGCCCGAGCAGCGGAUAGGGAGGGAUUUUAGACUUUUCUGUAGGCAUUGCAUUUUUAUGGUUUUGUGUACAUAUUCGUGUCACAUGAUCAUGUUACUUUUAAAAAUAAAUGAUUAACCCUGGAAAGCAGUUAUGAGGUUUCUUAAAAUACUAAAGGUGCACUUACCCUAUGACACAGCCCUGCACUCCUCAGCAUUUAUCCCAGAG